GUCAUUUACCAUUAACUUAUUUUUUCUCUUUCACCUUCCCAAAAAAUGUCCAAUGUUCAGUUUGUGCAGGUGUUCUAGGGCAGCCUCAUGAGCACAUAAUUGGAUUUGUCUUACAAGGGCAGCCUCAAUCACAGGAUAUAACAACAAAAUGCAGGUCUUCAUUAUUUACUACUAAGUUUCUUCAACUCCCAAGUUCCAAGAGUUAGCUUCGAACAUAUCUGCCAUGAUCUUUAAGCUACAUUGAGCAAUCCAACUUUAAGCACAAUUCACAUAGCUCUUUAGUAUGCAAUUAUCUUCCUUUCAUAUUGAUUAGCAUAAAAUUUCAGAAAAUUUACAGGAAGAAACAGCGGGUAGAAGCAGCCGAUUGCAUGACUACAACAACCAGCGAGCAUGAGCAGCCGCAAAGUAAUUGACCAAGGCUGUAGGGAUGCCCAUUAGCAGUCUAGACAAGAUUAUGUAUAACGGAAGUGAGUCAGGGGAAAGAAUGUUAUGCAGUUACUGAUUCAGAUUCCGGAAAGAAUCAGAGGAAGACUGGCCAAUGAUUGCUCACAUCCCAAAUGUUUCUGUUUCACCCUGGGGCUGACAUACAAGGGAACAUGUUCACAGGACUGAGUGGCCGAGUCAUUGCUUGAAACAAACAAGAUAGCACAACUCAUUCUAUGAAUUGCAAUUACCAAAGAGAUCGAAGAAACAAGGUGGAAGCAACCAAAAGGGCGAUUAUAAAGACCAUCGAGCAUGAGCAGCCACAAAGCAAUUGGCCAAGGCUGUAGGGGUAAGUGUUAAUAGUAGUCUAAGACAACAUCUCAGAAGAAAGAGUCUUAUGCACUUACUGGAGAUUGUUUCCAAUUGUGCUUUACAACUAAUUAUUUGGGUUGUCUAGUCGGACCAUGGGUCUUCCAUUGUGGGGAAAUGAUUGAUGAACUUGGCGUCGUCUUUAUGUGCUUAUGUGAGUGGUUUUCCUAGUUCUCAACCCAGACUUCUAAUAUUCAUAGUGGUUGACAUUAUAAGUUUGCUUCAUAGGGACGGGAGUAGGGAUGGCAAUGGGGCGGGUUGGAGCCGGUUUCUUAUUUCCCAUCUCCAUCCCCGUUUAAAUUUGGCACUCCCAAAACCGUUUCAUAACCGAUUAUUUUUUUACCCCUAAUCUCCAUAACCGCCCCCUGCCACAUCCCCGCCCCGCCCCGCUUUAAAAGAUAGGAAUGAGGAGGGUUUAUUUAGAAGUGUGGAUAUAUAUAUAAUAUGUUAAAUCGGUAAGUACAAUAACAUGGUAGGGAGCUAAUAGGAGUAA